GUCGCUAUCAAAUUCCUUCCAUUGUGAUCGAAUUUCUGACCAAGAGGUAGGUACAAGAUGGUGUGGAAAGCAAGCGAAACAAAGGCAAGUAAUUCAACCUCAAUUUUCUAGUUUCAAGUAAGUAUCACUACUUGGAACUUGGUUAAAAGCAUGCAAGCACGGAACCCAUAAAAUGCAUAUAUUGAUAUUUGAAAAUUGUCUCUUUUGAAGUCUUUCUUCUAUGCCUUCUAUCUUCACUUCACUAAUUGAAUCAUCCGACGCAUGAAAAUUUAAAUGGUUAAAAUUUAAAACUUGAAAGUUUUGCAUCAUCUGAAGUCUAUCACUGAUAAAAAAAAUGCCAAGUAAUAAUUGAAUCCAAAAAGUGCACUAAAUAUAAGAGAUUAAAUAGUUAAAUUUCAUCUUUGUUGUCUUCAUCUAUAAAUCUAAAUCCUCGAUCGUGUUGGAGAGCCCAGAAGGCCAUAUG
rnacentral:lncRNA from 1 species